rnacentral:rRNA from 1 species
UACGUAGGGAGCAAGCGUUAUCCGGAUUUACUGGGUGUAAAGGGCGUGUAGGCGGGCCUGCAAGUCAGAAGUGAAAUCUGGGGGCUUAACCCCCAAACUGCUUUUGAAACUGUAGGGCUUGAGUGAAGUAGAGGCAGGCGGAAUUCCCGGUGUAGCGGUGAAAUGCGUAGAGAUCGGGAGGAACACCAGUGGCGAAGGCGGCCUGCUGGGCUUUAACUGACGCUGAAGCACGAAAGCGUGGGUAGCAAACAGG